rnacentral:rRNA from 1 species
ACGAACGCUGGCGGCGUGCUUCACACCUGCAAGGCGAACGGAAAGGCCCUGCUUUUGUGGGGUGCUCGAGUGGCGAACGGGGGAGUAACACGUGAGUAACCUGCCCUUGACUUUGGGAUAACUUCAGGAAACGGGGGCUAAUACCGGAUAGGAGCUCCUGCUGCAGGGGGGGGGUUGGAAAGUUUCGGCGGUUGGGGAUGGACUCGCGGCUUAUCAGCUUGUUGGUGGGGUAGUGGCUUACCAAGGCUUUGACGGGUAGCCGGCCUGAGAGGGUGACCGGCCACAUUGGGACUGGGAUACGGCCCAGACUCCUACGGGAGGCAGCAGUGGGGAAUAUUGCACAAUGGGCGGAAGCCUGAUGCAGCAACGCCGCGUGCGGGAUGACGGCCUUCGGGUUGUAAACCGCUUUCGCCUGUGACGAAGCGUGAGUGACGGUAAUGGGUAAAGAAGCACCGGCUAACUACGUG